GGACUGAAGCCUGGGGAUAAUUUUCUCGUGGUCGGCCGAGGAAGUGAAUCCUGCAAUCUGCACACGUCGUUUCAGAGAAGAUCACUAAGACAAAUGUUGAGUCAACAGCAAGGAAAUGGAAACGAAAGCAGAAUGGAAGGACAUGAGGCCCUCAUCCUUGGAGAUCCUAUGGAGUCUCCACAGACAUUCCUCGAAGAAAUCAGGUCAAAUGGCUGCUACAUGCCUUUGGAACAGGAGCGAUGAAUCACCCCACCCCCAGGGCUAGGAAGGAGGGUCAGAGCUAGCCUUACCACACAACCGACGAGGAGCCUGUCCUCUGAGUUAUCAUGCAUAAAAGACGCAACCCGCAGAAAGAUCGUCCCCACAUCAGGUCCCUUUUUCUAUUUCUGUUUUUCUGUUAAUCAAUUCUGAGUUCACCACAAUAAAAAUCUUUGAAGGGCUGAAUGCUUUUGAGACAAAUUCCCUCACCAGUGUGGGCUGUGAAUAGGAUCAAAAAGGAUGGCUGUGGAAGAAGGAUUCACAAAGGAGACCCUCACGGAAGGAAAAGAAAAAUCGAAGGAGAUACCUGUGUCCUGGAGAAGGAAAGCCGGAGGCGGGGAGGGGGGAAGAAGCCCGGGAAAUCUAUUGAUUUAAAAUGACAAGAUUGGGGAAAAUAGGCCCCAUGAUGAUUUUAUAGCUCUGUCUAUUGUCUAAAACCCAAAGAAGCCCUUUCACUCCCACGUUCGUGUGUGCAUAAAACGAUGUAUUAAACACCUCCGCUCUGCGAGGCUGUGUUGUGUGUCUUUGUCGGGUGAAGAAAGAAGGCUGGUACACCUUCCCAGAAUUCUCAUUGAAGAAAACAUCUGAUUUUUUACAUCUCUUGUGCAAAACAAACAAGGAUUUCAUUAAGUGAUGUGUAUUGUUUUCCAAGGAAGAACCCUGUAGAGACAAAAACAAAUAAGCAAAUAAAUGAAACAACCACACGAUAAAGACGACCCCCAAAUUCUUCCAGUGCUAAUUUACUUGUUAUCAUGGUUCUCUGCAAAGGCAGAGAUCACUAAUUACAGAUUUUUCCAGAAUUCACAUUUCAUGUCAAGAUCACCCAAUCCAAACAGUAUAUAAAAAGCCUAAGGCCUUCUCCUUUACGUUGCCCCCUACCCCGCCGUACACAUACGCCCCCAUCUAAAUGACACCCUUGGAAAGAAACCCACACAUCUCAUUUGCCUGUAUUUGGCUUCCUCCCUCGCCUCCCUGUAACCAAAUGUGAGUUGAUCUGUAACUGCACUGGAAAAUCAGAAUUUAUUGUACAUAUGUUUGUGUUCCACUUAAUAAAAAAACCUAGAUUUUAAGAUAAACUUUGUUAGUAAUUCAUGAGGUAAGUGACUAUUUAUGCUAAUCAGGCAGAAAUAUAUUCUCAAGCAUAAUGCAUUACAUAAAUUUGAAUGCAAAAUGUUCAAUUAUGAAGU